GCGUUGUCCGGAAUUAUUGGGCGUAAAGCGCGCGCAGGCGGCACCUUAAGUCUGAUGUGAAAUCUUGCGGCUCAACCGCAAGCGUGCAUUGGAAACUGGGGCGCUUGAGUGCAGAAGAGGAGAGCAGAAUUCCACGUGUAGCGGUGAAAUGCGUAGAGAUGUGGAGGAAUACCAGUGGCGAAGGCGGCUCUCUGGUCUGUUACUGACGCUGAGGUGCGAAAGCGUG
rnacentral:rRNA from 1 species